CUCCCUCAGCCCCAGGACAUUCCAGACUUGGGACCCAAGCCAAUCAGGUUCCAGGCAUAAGAGUCUUCAUUUGAAACAAGAAGAUUUCUAAAUGACUUCUUCAUUAGGGCAUUCUGAACUGAAAUCAAAAUGCUUUUUUUUCCUUGCAGCUUCUGAAAAGCAACUUGAGAUGUGUCAGGGUUGCUCUGUCCCUGGGAGCAGCCAGUGUCGGGGUUGCAGCUGGAGCCAGCCAGGUGUGGACAACCUUGGUCGAGGUUCUCCUUCUUCAGCAUGGUUUCCAUUGCCCAUUGCAGUUCUCCCGAGGGCCUGACCAGUAGGGAUGGAGCUAGUCUUCUGGAUGUUCAUCUUCCAAGAUUCCAGCCUAGUGGAACCCUGUCUCCUCCUUCAAAAGCGUCACUGGAAAGGUUUUGCUGUGAGUCUAAAAUUGGGGGUCCAGAUAUGGCAGAACCUGGUCACUCCCAGGACCCCCACGGUGUCUCCUGGUGGCAACUGCAAUCCUGGUUAGAGCUUCCUCACUCUCAUCAGUGGGCAGCUCUCGUCCUUGAGUUGAAAACCCCAAAUAUUUAACAGAGGACUGAGAAUCUGCCUUCUUCCUGGACACCUUACAGCCUCAUUCAGCCAAGAAGUUUGAAGUCAAAUACAUAUGCUGGUCUCAGGUGUCCUCUGUUUCACUGGUGAUCAGAAUAUCGUCUGCAUUCUGGAGCAGGGCCUCCUCUGUUUAGUUCAAGGUCCUCCAAGUCUGGGCAGGACUUCUCCAAGUAUUGUGAACUUGUAAGUCCCCAAGGAAGCGCUGUCCAACAGUACUGUAGUCUCACUCCUUUAUCUCCAUCUUCCCACUCAAAAGCGGACUUGGGACUCAAAACUCAAGGGUGUGCAGAAAAGGCCUCCUUCAAGUGCAAAAUGGUCCAAACAGUCCCUGGACAAAGUCAUGAGCAGUGUAUGGG
ensembl:lncRNA